rnacentral:lncRNA from 1 species
AAGGUGGGAGAACCACUGAGCUAAAUCUCCAGCCCUAUAGUACAGAUUUCUUUUUAACCUGGUCUGGAAAGUGACAAUAUAUCCUCUGGGAAGUAAGCAUCUGGUUAGAAAUCCAUUGCCAAAAGACAAUCUAACCUUUAACUUGUUACCUGGAGAAUUUCCUGGGCAUGUUUACGUAGACUUCAAAUGUGACCAGAGAGAAGGGUAAAUUAUCUGAGGUAAGUUUGAAGGCAAACAGCUGUCAGUGAACUAUGAAUCAUCUCAAAGGCAUUGUACACUAAACUUGUUUUAAAAAAGGAAAAUUGUUUUUCAUGUUGAAAGGAAGAACCAGAAGGCCCCUGCACUAGCUCUUAAUUUGCUGUCUGUAUCUCUUAGGUUCCUUUGGGAAAUAACAUGAUGAGCUGCUUUUUAUUUUAUUAUUUUUUAAAAAUUUUC